rnacentral:rRNA from 1 species
GACGAACGCUGGCGGCGCGCCUAACACAUGCAAGUCGAACGAGCGAGAGAGAGCUUGCUUUCUCGAGCGAGUGGCGAACGGGUGAGUAACGCGUGAGGAACCUGCCUCAAAGAGGGGGACAACAGUUGGAAACGACUGCUAAUACCGCAUAAGCCCACGGGUCGGCAUCGACCAGAGGGAAAAGGAGCAAUCCGCUUUGAGAUGGCCUCGCGUCCGAUUAGCUAGUUGGUGAGGUAAUGGCCCACCAAGGCAACGAUCGGUAGCCGGACUGAGAGGUUGAACGGCCACAUUGGGACUGAGACACGGCCCAGAC